GACGUAGGGCGCGAGCGUUGUCCGGAUUUAUUGGGCGUAAAGAGCUCGUAGGUGGUUUGUCGCGUUGUUCGUGAAAACUCACAGCUCAACUGUGGGCGUGCGGGCGAUACGGGCAGACUAGAGUACUGCAGGGGGAGACUGGAAUUCCUGGUGUAGCGGUGGAAUGCGCAGAUAUCAGGAGGAACACCAGUAGCGAAGGCGGCUCGCUGGGCCAUUCCUGACGCUGAGACGCGAAAGCUAGGGGGAGCGAACAGGG
rnacentral:rRNA from 1 species